rnacentral:tRNA from 2 species
CAUCCCUAGCUCAAUCGGGUAGAGCACUGGACUCGUAAUCCGGCGGUCGCGGGUUCGACUCCCGCGGGAUGCC